AGCGCAGACGGUUUAUUAAGUCUGAUGUGAAAUCCCGAGGCCCAACCUCGGAACUGCAUUGGAAACUGAUUUACUUGAGUGCGAUAGAGGCAAGUGGAACUCCAUGUGUAGCGGUGAAAUGCGUAGAUAUGUGGAAGAACACCAGUGGCGAAAGCGGCUUGCUAGAUCGUAACUGACGUUGAGGCUCGAAAGUAUGGGUAGCAAACGGGAUUAGAUACCCCGGUAGUCCAUACCGUAAACGAUGGGUGCUAGUUGUUAAGAGGUUUCCGCCUCCUAGUGACGUAGCAAACGCAUUAAGCACCCCGCCUGAGGAGUACGGCCGCAAGGCUAAAACUUAAAGGAAUUGACGGGGACCCGCACAAGCGGUGGAGCAUGUGGUUUAAUUCGAAGAUACGCGAAAAACCUUACCAGGUCUUGACAUACCAAUGAUCGCUUUUGUAAUGAAAGCUUUUCUUCGGAACAUUGGAUACAGGUGGUGCAUGGUCGUCGUCAGCUCGUGUCGUGAGAUGUUGGGUUAAGUCCCGCAACGAGCGCAACCCUUGUUAUUAGUUGCCAGCAUUUAGUUGGGCACUCUAAUGAGACUGCCGGUGAUAAACCGGAGGAAGGUGGGGACGACGUCAGAUCAUCAUGCCCCUUAUGACCUGGGCAACACACGUGCUACAAUGGGAAGUACAACGAGUCGCAAACUGGCGACGGUAAGCUAAUCUCUUAAAACUUCUCUCAGUUCGGACUGGAGUCUGCAACUCGACUCCACGAAGGCGGAAUCGCUAGUAAUCGCGAAUCAGCAUGUCGCGGUGAAUACG
rnacentral:rRNA from 1 species